UCCCAUCCGCGCGCCGCGCCCGCACCGAACGCAACCCAAUCCCCUCGUCCCGCACGCCGUGCACACUCCGGUCCCGUCAUCCCGCACGAACCCUAGGAGAGAGAGAUAGGAAGAUGAGAGGGAGAGAAAGGGGAGAGGAGAGGAGAGGAGAGGGAGGUCCGGCAGCGGACGGGAGAGGGUGACCGGCCGGCGUCGGCCUACACCGGCGUCGGCCUGCGCCCCUCCUCGCGCACGAACCCUAGCUGAGAGACAAAAUGAGGGGGAGAGAGAGAAGGAAGGAGAGGAGGGAGAAAGAGAGAGGAAAGAGGAAAGGGAGGUGCGGCGGCUGACAGGAGAGAGGGUCAUCGGCCGGCGCCGGAGAGGACGGGCCCGACCUGGACGCGACUUGGAGGUUGGCGGCGGCUCGAUCCACUCCUGGAUCGGGAGCUGCGACGAGGCUGGGGCUCGGGCGCGUUGUACGGGAGUGAAAAUGACUGCAAGCGGCGGUGCAUCAAGGUGCAAGGCAGCAGCGACAUGUUCAUAGUACGCUAAAGGAUGAACUCCUACUUUUUCUGAUGCUAGCUCCUUGCUGCAGCCUGCUUACAUCUCCCAAGAUAUCCUCUUGGUCAAGGCAAUUGCACAUGAUGAAGCCACUCAUUUUAGGAUAUGCAUUGUGCUUAAACAUGAGUGCUCGCUCGCUGAACGUUGGCCCUCGGAUGAAUUCGACGCUUGAAUUGAGCUGACGAGCCCCAUGGGGGUGAGAGGCGGAUAACAAUACGAGAAGGAGCAUGCCAUCGAGGAGUGCAAGCAGCGGCACUCCUCCGCAAUGGGGUAUGGCUGCGGGGGAGGGGACGCGGCCAACGACAGGAAGAAGGAGCAGGUCGUCGAGGACUACAAGCAGCAGGUUUCCUUUGACUGGAAGUCUGAAACUGAAGAUAGGGCAUAUUGUUUUGGUUCUGAGUGGCCGGAGAUAUUGUGGCUUGAUGUCCCUAGAGCAGUCGGACCCUUCCAAGAUAGAAGAUCUUUGGGAUUGACGUUCUGAUGAGAAAGUAGCAUACGGAUGGAUGGACAUGAACUAUUCAGUGGUCGAACUGCGCUAUAUUUCUUUCAUUGAGGCGAGGGUGAUUCCAGUAGAUUUUGCUUGGCGGACUCGCCUUUUUUUAUUGAAGUUGGGUGUCCGUCUUCUCUGCGGCAAGGAUCUGGGGAGUCAGAUUGCGGAUUACAUGUAGUGGGGAAGUAGAGAGGGGGACGAGGAAGAGGACACCGUCGGUGGCGUGCUAUAUCUCACUAGGCGACAAUGUCGAGAGCGUGCCUGGCAUCAAGAACCUGACAUGCUUUUCCGAGUGUUAGUUGAGGUGAGCCACCUGGGCCGGUCUAUGGGUUGAGGUGGUUUGAUAAUCCUGGGUUGUUCCUCUUUUUCCUGCGUUUUUUUUCAGGAAAUGACUUUAUUUAUUGGAAAAUGGCAAUAUCGUUUACAAGUAUACAUGAAACAAACUAUUUUUCCUACGCCUCUUUGUUCUGUGUAAUGGUGCUCUUGGUUGAGUGUGCUGACGAAAGAGAUUCCAUGCUACAGGCUAGGUAGCUUCUCAGUAACUCUUCGUGAUUUGCUUGCAAUGUUAUAUUUUGCAAAAUUGUUCCUUGCAAUCCUAAAAUGGUUUCUCAAAACAUGGGAAAAAUUACAUUCUAAAAAUUGUAGGCACACUGAGUGAAGCAUAUAUAUAAAUUCUAUUAUAACAGAGGUCAGGUAUAUAUAUGCAAAUUGUUAUAAUAUGAUUUUAUUAGAAUAGAGGUCAGGUACUGCCAUGACGUAAGGAGGGAGUGACACCAAGUUUUAUAUAUAUUGUGAUUUCAGUUUUCAUCAAUGUCGCUAUUAUUAUUAUCUCUUUGUAGCUUCAUAUAAAAUCAGUACUGACAUGGUCAUCUUACAGUGUAAAAAUGGUAGGUGAUAGAAUCAUAACCUGUGACUGAGUGCCUUAAGAAGUUCUUUUCAUUAUUGUUAAUUAAUAUAAUGUUUAGGGCCAGUUUAUAUGUGUCGUCGAAAAAUAUGAGUAAAAUCAGUGAAUAUUUUGCAUUGCUUGGUGUUUGGUGUGUCUAUUGCAUAAUCCUUUUCUUUUUUGCUUCUCUUUCCAAGCAAGGACCAGGCUGGGAACAUAUGUUUAUAAUGAAGUUCUUUCGUUGCACAUCUAUGCUGUUGCGGCAACACAGGCCAAUACACAUUCAGGAAAUAUGUCACCAACUUCCCCAAGGCCCCGCAUCGUCUACUCAGGUUAAUUCUCGGUCUACAACCUCCAAAACCUGUAGUUCUAUUUUUAAAAAUGCUUAAGCGCCCAUUGCUCUAAGCGUCAGCCUGUCGCUUUGCUUAUGCUUCAUGCUUUCCUGAACAUUGAUUUCUAUCAAACUUGUUUUUUAAGUUUUCAUGCUGAUUACUGAUUGUGGGAGCUGAAUUGUGCUCCGGUGGAAGUGUUAGAGUGUAGCAUUUUUGUAAGCAUAAUCUAUAUCCAUUCCUAUUGGGAACAUACCCAUGUAGGUUUUUGUAAGAAUCUUGUAGGAGCAUGCUACUAGGACUUAUGUAGAUUGGCUAUUCUAGACAUUGGCAUGAGAAUGGUCUGCAUCCUAUAUAUGGUCUUAGUGCAUCUAAAAAAACACGUGUUAAAUAACUGUCAGCACAACGGUUUCUAACCAAUAGAAAGUUACUCCCGUUGGUAUAUAUGAGGCAAUGUCUAAUUUUUUUUAGAAUAAUGGUUUUAUUAAUUGGAUGAUUAUCACUUUCAUGGGCGCCUACUUUCAGAUAUGUAAAAUCCAGGACUCUUAUGUAAUGUGCCUUCAAUAUCUAUUCAACAGUUGAAUAGCAACAUCAAAUCAUUCUCUCGAACUUAUCAUAUCAUGCUCUCUAACUUCUUGACAUUUAAUUUCAAUUAAACAAAUCUUGUUCAUAGCAAAAAAACAUUUUAUAGAAAAAUAGCCCUUUAUUCUGUUUAUUAUCUCUAGCUACUUCUACUGUAGUCCUUGCUUAAUACUGAUGUUUGUCUUGUGAUUGAUUCAUGAUAUUCUGUGCCCCAAGCCCUACAGAAUAAUGCCCAGUCUAAUUUCAGCAGUGGGCAUGACAGCCUCAAACUUCUCUCUUCAAUAUUGAAGAAGCGGCUUACUCAGAUCAAUGGGCAUGCACCAUGCACUUACAAAAAUAGCUAAAGAGUACACGAUAUUCCUAGAGUAAAUAAAGGGCAUGUUGUGCUCAUAAGUUAGACAGAAGCAAAAUGUUAUUUAUUAUGCUCCUGUUGUAUCCUCGGACAUUUUCUUCCACCUACAAAUACCAUAGUACCGAAUAUCUACUUUCCCAUUGUUGUAUUGAUAACCCACAAGUAUAGGGGAUCGCAACAACUUUUGAGGAUAGAGUAUUUAACCCAAA